CAAUAGCGUAUAUUAAAGCUGUUGCGGUUAAGAAGCUCGUAGUUGGAUUUCUGUCAAGGACAACUGGUCCGCCCCUCGGGUGAGCACAUAGUUUGGUCUUGGCAUCUUGUUGGAAACUGUUGCUGCACUUGGUUGUGUGGCGCAGUGUCCAGCACUUUCACUUUGAGGAAAUUGGAGUGUUUCAAGCAGGCACAUGCCUUUGGACACAGUAGCAUGGAAUAAUUAGAUUGGGCUUUUGCUCCAACUUGUCGGUUUCUGGAGCUGAGGUGAGAAUUAAUGGGGAUUGUUGGGGGCAUCCGAAUUUAGCCGUCAGAGGUGAAAUUCUUGGAUCUGCUAAAGACGGACAACUGCGAAAGCGUUUGCCCAGGAUGUUUUCAUUGA
rnacentral:rRNA from 1 species